rnacentral:rRNA from 1 species
UACAGAGGGGGCAAGCGUUAUUCGGAAUUAUUGGGCGUAAAGGGCGCGUAGGCGGCCUGGCAAGUGGAAGGUGAAAUCCCUCGGCUUAACCGAGGAACUGCCUGUCAGACUGGGUUGCUUGAGACCGGGAGAGGCGAGUGGAAUUCCUGGUGUAGCGGUGAAAUGCGCAGAUAUCAGGAGGAACACCAAUUGCGAAGGCAGCUCGCUGGGACGUGACUGACGCUGAGACGCGAAAGCGUGGGGAGCAAACAGG